UACGAAGGGAGCUAGCGUUGUUCGGAAUCACUGGGCGUAAAGCGCACGUAGGCGGAUGUGUCAGUCAGGGGUGAGAUCCCGGAGCUCAACUUCGGAACUGCCUUUGAUACAGCACGUCUUGAGUCCGAUAGAGGUGGGUGGAAUUCCUAGUGUAGAGGUGAAAUUCGUAGAUAUUCGGAAGAACACCAGUGGCGAAGGCGGCUCACUGGCCCGGUACUGACGCUGAGGUGCGAAAGCGUGGGGAGCAAACAGG
rnacentral:rRNA from 1 species